rnacentral:rRNA from 1 species
AUGGCGACCGGCGCACGGGUGAGUAACACGUACCCAACCUGCCGUCUACUCUUGGACAGCCUUCUGAAAGGAAGAUUAAUACAAGAUGGCAUCAUGAGUCCGCAUGUUCACAUGAUUAAAGGUAUUCCGGUAGACGAUGGGGGUGCGUUCCAUUAGAUAGUAGGCGGGGUAACGGCCCACCUAGUCUUCGAUGGGUAGGGGUUCUGAGAGGAAGGUCCCCCACAUUGGAACUGAGACACGGUCCAAACUCCUACGGGAGGCAGCAUG